rnacentral:rRNA from 1 species
CCUACGGGAGGCUGCAGUGGGGAAUAUUGGACAAUGGGGGAAACCCUGAUCCAGCGACGCCGCGUGAGUGAAGAAGUAUUUCGGUAUGUAAAGCUCUAUCAGCAGGGAAGAAAAUGACGGUACCUGACUAAGAAGCCCCGGCUAACUACGUGCCAGCAGCCGCGGUAAUACGUAGGGGGCAAGCGUUAUCCGGAUUUACUGGGUGUAAAGGGAGCGUAGACGGCACUGCAAGUCUGGAGUGAAAGCCCGGGGCUCAACCCCGGGACUGCUUUGGAAACUGUGGUGCUGGAGUGCAGGAGAGGUAAGUGGAAUUCCUAGUGUAGCGGUGAAAUGCGUAGAUAUUAGGAGGAACACCAGUGGCGAAGGCGGCUUACUGGACUGUAACUGACGCUGAGGCUCGAAAGCGUGGGGAGCAAACAGGAUUAGAUACCCCGGUAGUC